AAACAGAGAAUUGUCCUGACUGUAUCCGUGGAAGUAGAAGGCGACCAUAGUUUUUAUCUAUUUUCUGCUUUUGCUUUCCUCGUUCUUAAACUGCAAAAGCAGGACUUCCUUUUGGUUCGGUUUUUAAAGAUUGAACCUAUAGUUGUUAUUACCUUUGUAUUCCCACUUAGUUGAAAGCUAUCAAGUUUCAACUUCUAACCUUCGCUGUUAUUGCGGAGCAGCGGAGGACUUGGUGAUUGUAUGUUUAGUUUUCUUCUCGCGGUAUUUUUUGUUGAUGGAGUACGAUAUGCUUUUACGUAUAUGAUGGAUUCUAUCUUUCUUUUAGUUCUAUUGCCAAUGAUCGUUGAUGAUUGUGGCAAGUCGAAGACGAAGACGGUAUGUUUUUGGGUCUAACAUAGGAUAGACAAAUGUACCAGGUGCUCUAGUGUCCUGAGUACUACUACAACAAUAACAUACCCCGUAUAGUCCACCAAGUGUACGCAAACUUACCCCUGCGUUUAAAAGGCAGAGAUGCUGUUUCCGGUAUAUCAUCGGCUCAGAAAGGAAAGGGGGUCCUGAGUAGUGAUUUCUGCAAAUGAAUUUUGGACAGCUUGUGCAGCAAAUGCUCUCUGAUGUGCUGAACAGGUAACAAUUGCUUCUGCGAAAAAUAAAGUUUAGAGCAUGCAUAAUGAGUAAAGUGAAGAUUUUAAAUUAAUUUUCAGUAAGUUGAAAUAAUCCAUGAGCUUUUAGUAUGUACACUUUUACAAUGGUUGUUUCAUAUAUUUGGUCAGUUGUUAAUGAAAGCAUUCUUUCGACCAAUUUCUGUGACACUACUGUUGUUACUGCUGCGCUCCCAUAUGUGAUUUCAACUUCAAAUUCACAUCUGCGAUGUUGUUUUUGUGUGAGUUAAUUUAGAUGAAAUAUGGUAAAUAAUAAUGUUUUGGCUAUCAGAUGUCCGUAGUGAUACUAUGUCAAUGGUAACAAUUGUUAUUACCUUGGAAUCAACAUUCUUUGUAGCUGGCAGUUUGAAACAGAGAACUUUCUUUUUGCGCUUAAGUCGUGCUAGAUGUUGACACUCGGAGCAUAGAAGCACGAAGAAUACUGAACUUCACUGUCAAACUACCAGAUUAUAAUACCAACAAAAUUCACAAUAUCUACCAUUACAUUACAGGACAAAGGACAACGAGCAGAUGCUAAUUGCAUA
rnacentral:lncRNA from 1 species